rnacentral:lncRNA from 1 species
AAGUGAUAGUGGAAGAUGGGAGGCUAUUGUAUAAACAGAGCAUGACUCUGAUCAAUUCAACCGAGGAAUCAAAGUCGAUUUUUGUACUUAGCACGACUAGAACCUUAUACGUAGGGAAGAAAAAGAAAGGCGUUUUCCAGCACUCGAGCUUCUUAUCUGGAGGCGCCACAACCGCUGCAGGAAGAUUGGUCGCCCGCGAUGGGAUCCUUGAGGUACUUAAAUUACCUGUCUUUCUUCUCCCUCAGGUAUGAAUCUCUUAUGUUAUGUAAACUAAAAGGAUUUUACUCACCUUUUGUUUUCUCAGGCUAUAUGGCCAUAUAGUGGACACUAUCUCCCAACAGAAGAAAACUUCAAGGAGUUCAUAAGCUUCUUGGAGGAGCACAAUGUUGAUCUCACCAAUGUUAAGGUAAGGAAAUGAAUAAUUUUACAUUCGUUUCAGUGUUCUUGGCAUCAAGAAAAUGGUUGUAUUCACGAGGGAUGAAUCCGAAUUGCAGAGGUGUGCUGUGAAUGAGGAAUAUUCGUCAUUCAAAUCAACUGCAGACGAAGAAGAGGAAGCAAAGGAAAUCUCAGAGGAAGUUGAGAUGCCUUCAGAGCAAGAAGAGAGAGCUAAACCGGUGUUUGAUCCUGCCAAGAGACUUUCUUGUAAAUGGUCA